GAGCUUCCACCGCGCUUCUUGGUCCUCCGCCUCGAUCUGGAGUACCGGCGGCCGGGUGAGACCACCACCUCACCACAUCUCUGUCUCAAACCAAGUCCAGCGGCGGUGGAAAAUGAUGGCAUCGUAGGCGGCUGUGCUGUGGGAUUGAGGUCAACAAUGGCGGCAGCAGCUGGUGGACAACGGAGGCUGCAUCGCGAACAGAUCGAUGCACCUCAUAGGAAGGAGGAGGACCAGCCCUUGUGUGGGAGGUGGUGUGGCUUCAGGGGAAGCGAGCAUGCAGGAAGGGCCGAUUUUUUCCUGCCCAAUUGUUGUUGUUAUACGUUUGAUUACUACAUCAACAUUGUUGCGUCCUCCUGCAAAGUAUCGAUCACCAUCAUGUAUCCCUCCCUGCCAAGCACGACCAAUUAAGGCAGCAAGGUCAUCCCAUAUGCAGAUGUCGAGGAGGGUCUACUGUGAGGGUUGUAGCUGCAUGAGAUUGGGUCAUUAAGAAAAUCAUCCACCCAAGUGAUUCUUGCGGUCUAAUUGAUAGUGUCGGCUAAGAUGUUAUUUGGUAUGAGCUUCAUAUAAGCUUAUUACUUUUCUGUACUAUUGAACGAUAUUAUAAUCCAAUA